rnacentral:rRNA from 1 species
GUGAGGAAUUUUCUGCAAUGGGCGAAAGCCUGACAGAGCAAUACCGCGUGAGGGAAGAAGGCUUACUGAGUUGUAAACCUCGGUGCCUUAAGGAAGAAGAUCUGACGGUACUUAAGGUGGAAAGCAUCGGCUAACCCCGUGCCAGCAGCCGCGGUAAGACGGGGGAUGCAAGUGUUAUCCGGAAUUACUGGGCGUAAAGCGUCUGCAGGUGGUUUCUUAAGUCCACUGUUAAACCUUGAGGCUCAACCUCAAAUCUGCAGUGGAAACUAGGGAACUUGAGGAUAGUAGGGGUAGAGGGAAUUUCCAGUGGAGCGGUGAAAUGCGUAGAUAUUGGAAAGAACACCGAUGGCGAAGGCACUCUACUGGGCUAUGACUGACACUCAGAGACGAAAGCUAGGGGAGCAAAUGGGAUUAGAUACCCGUGUAGUCC